rfam:Sphingopyxis bauzanensis strain DSM 22271 NODE_8_length_67210_cov_53.2035, whole genome shotgun sequence.
CUCGCGGACCGGGCCCCUCUGGUGGCUGCCUUUCCAAGCAGCCGCGAUGUCGGACCGCAUCG